rnacentral:tRNA from 1 species
UCCUCUGUAGUUCAGUCGGUAGAACGGCGGACUGUUAAUCCGGUAUGUCACUGGUUCGAGUCCAGUCAGAGGAGCCA